UUUCCGUAGGUGAACCGGCGGAAGGAUCACUAUUAAAUGAACUUGGUGUGGUUGUUGCUGGCCCUCUCGGGGGCAUGUGCACACCCACCAUCCUCAUCUCUCCACCUGUGCACUUCUUGUAGACCUGGAUACACUUUCCGAGGCAACUCGGUCUGGAGGAAUGCUGUGCAAGCUUUCUUUGUAUUUCCUAGCCUACGUUUUUCAUAUACCCCAUAGCAUGUAACAGAAUGUAUCAUUGGGCCUUUGUGCCUAUAAACCUUAUACAACUUUCAGCAACGGAUCUCUUGGCUCUC
rnacentral:misc_RNA from 1 species